CCUUCGGGUUGUAAGCUCCUUCAGACGGAAAGAAACGGUUAACGAGAUAACAACCUGUGACUAAUGACGGUACCGUCAGAAGAAGCACCGGCUAACUACGUGC
rnacentral:rRNA from 1 species